rnacentral:rRNA from 1 species
UGUCAUGCCAAUGGCACUGCCCGGUAGCUAAAUGCGGAAGAGAUAAGUGCUGAAAGCAUCUAAGCACGAAACUUGCCCCGAGAUGAGUUCUCCCUGACUCCUUGAGAGUCCUGAAGGAACGUUGAAGAUGACGACGUUGAUAGGCCGGGUGUGUAAGCGCAGCGAUGCGUUGAGCUAACCGGUACUAAUGAACCGUGAGGCUUAACCUUACAACGCCGAAGGUGUUU